ACCCUUGUGGAGGAGGACGCCGAAGGUGGGGCUAAUGACUGGGGUGAAGUCGUAACAAGGUAGCCGUACCGGAAGGUGCGGCUGGAUCACCUCCUAACAGGGAGACAACAAAAUGUUUAAUAUUAUUAUUUUGUCACCUUAGGUCGAUCGGUAUCUCACGUUCUUAAUUUGUUAAGAAUUUCAUUUCCUAAGUUUUUCUAGGUCACACCCAUUAUUUUUCCUGGGCCAUUAGCUCAGGUGGUUAGAGCGCACCCCUGAUAAGGGUGAGGUCCCUGGUUCAAGUCCAGGAUGGCCCAUAUCUCUAUGUUGGGGGUAUAGCUCAGUUGGUAGAGCGCCUGCUUUGCAAGCAGGAUGUCAGCGGUUCGAGUCCGCUUACCUCCACUGAUUACCACCUCUUACAUAACCGGUAGAAAGGAAAUGUUUUGAGUUGUGAUCAUUAUUCUGAACGAAUCUAGCUUCCUAAUGAAAUCAUUAAGAUGCUGGACUCAUUGAAUUAAUUUCAUUGUUUUCAGAGAACCUUGACAACUGCAUAGAUUUUUUUAAAGACAAUAAGCAUCUUUAAUGAUGCAGAUUUAUUAUUUGUGCGAAUGCAUUAAUAACAAUUCUAUUAAGCUGAUGCUUCAAUUUUUGAAGUUAUUGGUCAAGCUACAAAGGGCUCACGGAGGAUACCUAGGCACACAGA
rnacentral:misc_RNA from 1 species